GGCACCGUUGCCGAGGCCGACAUGGCGCUGAUCUACGGCAUCGGCUUCCCGCCGUUCCGCGGCGGCGCGCUGCGC
rnacentral:tRNA from 1 species